rnacentral:rRNA from 1 species
CGUACACUCCUGCGGGAGGCAGCAGUGGGGAAUAUUGGACAAUGGGCGCAAGCCUGAUCCAGCCAUGCCGCGUGAGUGAUGAAGGCCCUAGGGUUGUAAAGCUCUUUCACCGGUGAAGAUAAUGACGGUAACCGGAGAAGAAGCCCCGGCUAACUUCGUGCCAGCAGCCGCGGUAAUACGAAGGGGGCUAGCGUUGUUCGGAUUUACUGGGCGUAAAGCGCACGUAGGCGGACUAUUAAGUCAGGGGUGAAAUCCCGGGGCUCAACCCCGGAACUGCCUUUGAUACUGGUAGUCUUGAGUUCGAGAGAGGUGAGUGGAAUUCCGAGUGUAGAGGUGAAAUUCGUAGAUAUUCGGAGGAACACCAGUGGCGAAGGCGGCUCACUGGCUCGAUACUGACGCUGAGGUGCGAAAGCGUGGGGAGCAAACAGGAUUAGAAACCCCUGUAGUCCCAUGAU